GAUGAACGCUAGCGGGAGGCUUAACACAUGCAAGUCGAGGGGCAUCACGAGGUAGCAAUACUUUGGUGGCGACCGGCGCACGGGUGAGUAACGCGUAUGCAACCUACCCUGUACAGUGGGAUAACCCGGAGAAAUUCGGACUAAUACCGCAUAAAGAUAUUUUGAGGCAUCUUAAGAUAUUUAAAGCUUAGGUGGUACGGGAUGGGCCUGCGUAACAUUUAGCUGGUUGGUAGGGUAACGGCCUACCAAGGAGAUGAUGUUUAGGGGACCUGGGAGGGAGGUCGCCCACUCAGGUACUGAGACACGGACCAGACACCUACGGGAGGCAGCAGUGAGGAAUAUUGGUCAAUGGGCGGAAGCUUGAGCCAGCCAUCCCGCGUGCAGGAAGACAGCCCUAUGUGUUGUAAACUGCUUUUCCAGUGGGCGAAACACUCGUACGUGUACGAGAUUGACGGUACACUGGGAAUAAGCAUCGGCUAACUCCGUGCCAGCCGCCGCGGUAA
rnacentral:rRNA from 1 species